UGGCUCAGGAUGAACGCUGGCGGCGUGCCUAACACACGCAAGUCGAGCGCGAUGUUUACAUGCGAGCGGCGAACGGGUGAGUAACACGUAUCCAACCUACCCUUAAGUCUGGGAUAACUUCUGGAAACGGAAGCUAAUACCGGAUAGGUAAUGGAGUCUUAUGACACCAUUAUUAAAGAAGCGUUUGCUUCGCUGAAGGAUGGGGAUGCGCUGCAUUAGGUAGUUGGUGAGGUAACGGCUCACCAAGCCAACGAUGCAUAGCCGGCCUGAGAGGGUGAUCGGCCACACUGGAACUGAGACACGGUCCAGACUCCUACGGGAGGCAGCAGUAGGGAAUCUUCGACAAUGGGCGAAAGCCUGAUCGAGCAACGCCGCGUGUGUGAUGAAGGUCUUCGGAUCGUAAAGCACUGUUGUAAGGGAAAGAACAGCUAGGGUAGGAAAUGGGCUUAAUUUGACNGUNCCUUACC
rnacentral:rRNA from 1 species